GGGGGAAAGGAUAGACUUUGGGGCUAAUCUAGCCAGAGGUUUCAGUUUAAUAAUGUAAAUUCUCCCCUGCAAAACCAUCUCGUAUCCCCAAAGCUGUCAAACUUUGCUGCAAGGAGCUUCGAAAUAUCCUGUCUUGAAUGGACUUCUACCGGCAGUGUUUCCUUUACUUAUGAAUGGAGCCAUCUAGGUAGUUGGUUUCCUCUUUCAAUAAACUCUUCAUCUGCUUAA